AGCGUGAAUCCAUUUCCUUUGAUUAUAAGUUACAGGAAGUUUGACCCUAAGUGUCACUACUGGUCCCUACUGCUGGGUUUUUCUCCUAGUUUUUAGUCUUUAGUUCAGCUAACCAAAUCAGGCAACAUCUUUACAUUCUUAAAUAUUUGCUUUCUGGUAUUUUUUUCUUUAGUUUUACCUUUAAUGAUAAGAACGGUGGAGAGGGAAAGACAGAGCUGCAUAAAAUGACGGAUUAAUAUUUACCUGCAGACAUGAGAGUGGGACCAAUAUUCUCGUCUGAUUCACAGUAAGAAACUGAAUAAACACAUUUGAAAACUGAAGAACUCCCAAAAUACCAAAGCUUUACUUCUAACCUCUGAGGUUCUAUCUGUCAGGGUCGAGUAAAACAAAGUAUAACUAACUGGUUCUAAGGAGGAUUUUAUAGAAUAAACGUACCUGCAGGUAGAAACCAGCACCAAGCAGCUGUAGGACCAGCAGCCACAUCCUGCCUCCUCUGAAAAGGACAAAGAGAACGUUUUAAAAGCCAAGAAGAUGUAAUAUUGUUCCACUGGUUCCUCAGCAGUAAUAUCAGGGAUGUGAGCACUCAGUGGAAAAAGAUGAAGCUGUCCGUCUGUUUGCUUUGGUUCAGUGUUCGUUAGUUUGUUCGUUACAGUCAUUCAGUAUGAGCUCAGAUCAUAAAGGUCCGUUUAUGAAGCAGACUUGUUUGCUGUGAGCUUAUAACUGGAAUUGUUCCUUAUAGCAGAGAUCAUUGCUGCUGCCACACUGGAUGCAUUUAUUAUUACCUGUAAACAGCACAAGACUAAGUUUGGCUUCUUUACAGUUAAACGAUGAGGGACGGUCCAUAGAUUACAGCUGAUGAAUCAUGGGAGGACAUUUUGAUUAGUUCGGUCUCUAAAAACCCACGUUAACGUCUUCUGGGCCUUUGAAUUACUCAGUUUAAAAAUAUGGAAAAAAUGACCACAGGUAGAAGUCAAGUUGGAGGAAAUAAAUGUCAGAUGAGGUGAUUAAUGGGAGUAAAAGCUGAAUAUUAAAUCUGUUGCAUCAGCUAUACCUUAAUAUAUUAAAUCUUUUUAGGGCUGAAUUAUUUACUGAAAUGUUACUGAAAUCACAGUAGAGUUGUGAAGAAGUUCACGGUCCAAGUUCCAGGAGCUGCAUUUCUUUUUUAAUAACGUGCCACAACAAACCAUUAGAGCUUCUAGAAAUGAUCUUCUCCUGAUAUAAGGAAAUAUAGUUUUAGAUGUAAGGUUUGAAAGAAACCACAGUAAACAUCACACUGUUCUUCUGUUUUUUUCAAUGUAAAAUCGAUCAAAAAUGACCAUUCCCUCUAAAGUCAUGAAUCAUAUUUCUGUUAAAAAAUGCCAAUAUGUUGGUUUGUCUACAAACUUAAAGGAGGUGCAGCGUAUAAUAGAAGUGAAUUCACCUGUAGGACGACUUAAAUGUCCAAGGAUUUAAUAUUAUACUACCUCUCAAUAACUGCAGGAUUUCUAAGCUGAUGAGUAAAAUAUUUUGCGUUUUAUGGACAUUCAAAAACAGAUACGUUAGAAAGACUAUUUAAAAAAAUACAACUGCAAAGAAGAAACUCAGUGCAACAAACUUCCAUCACUGUGGUUCUAAAACCAGCUGCUGGGUCAAUCUGUCUGCAUCAUGGUCCAAAUGGAAAAGAAGUGAAGAGAGGAAGAGAAACAUCUGACUGAGACCUAAACAUGAUGCAUUAAAGGCAGGAAGAUCAGUGAGCAGCUAAAAACCAGAAGUAACCAGGAGGUCUAGAAGGAGUCAUAGUUCCACUGAUCAGGAGGUCUAGAAGGAGUCAUAGUUCCACUGAUCAGGAGGUCUAGAAGGAGUCAUAGUUCCACUAAUCAGGAGGUCUAGAAGGAGUCAUAGUUCCACUAAUCAGGAGGUCUAGAAGGAGUCAUAGUUCCACUAAUCAGGAGGUCUAGAAGGAGUCAUAGUUCCACUGAUCAGGAGGUCUAGAAGGAGUCAUAGUUCCACUAAUCAGGAGGUCUAGAAGGAGUCAUAGUUCCACUAAUCAGGAGGUCUAGAAGGAGUCAUAGUUCCACUAAUCAGGAGGUCUAGAAGGAGUCAUAGUUCCACUGAUCAGGAGGUCUAGAAGGAGUCAUAGUUCCACUGAUCAGGAGGUCUAGAAGGAGUCAUAGUUCCACUGAUCAGGAGGUCUAGAAGGAGUCAUAGUUCCACUGAUCAGGAGGUCUAGAAGGAGUCAUAGUACCAGUAAUCAGGAGGUCUAGAAGGAGUCAUAGUAGCACUGAUCAGAGCUGCAGUGGUCGUCCUUCUAAAAAGAUGCCAGCUACUUUCAGUCCAGCUAAAGCGGUUGAGGAUUGCCUCAUUGGUUAUCAGUGACGGCUCAGAGAGGGUGAAGGACAUCCAGUAACAUCAACAGCAUCAAACACCUUGACCUGCUCUACAGCGUAAAGCUGCAACAUUAAACCUUUGAAGGACAUGAAAUGAAGCCUGAUGAAUACUGAGAGCACAAACAAGUUGAUUUUAGUUGCACUGAACUCUUACUGGGGGAUAUGUUGUCUGAAAUAAAUCUGCUCAUUUUAUUUUAAGUAACAGCAAACACAGUGUUUAAGUUAGUACUGCAGUAACUCAUAAUGCAGCUGACGUGUGUGUGUAAUAUGUAAAUACUGUUAGAAUAAACAGAG